UCCUAUAGCCACUGUGUUUAUGAGUGGUGCAUGCAUGUGAUUGGACACACAUUGGCCCACUUUUUCUCUCUUUCUUUUAUCUUUCCUCUCAUUUUUCUUUUACUCAUACCCAUCCCAUCUCUUCAUCCAAGCAGAGGAGGCUAGCUGAAGCUUUUCCACAUAGUAGAAGGGUUCCUUCCCAGCCACGAAACAGGGCAAGCGCCAAUAUGCAAGCACUUCACAAGCCCCUUCUUGCAUCAUAUUUAAAAAUAUGCCAUUGGCCGAAGGAAAUCACAUGGUUGAGGAGGUUCAAGGCUUGUAGGAACAGACUUCAUCUCUGGAUGGGAGGAGUAGCAAAGCCACCUCGCAAAGGAGAAGGCACAUAGGGAGAGGAGGAAUUAUUGUGGCCAUCUUUCAUCUUUACAACCUACCUCGUGCCUUGCCAUCCGGGGCCGCUGGAGAGAUCUGCCCCAUGUCUUCCUCAUUCCAGGACCCAGGCUGAAUUGUGACUCCACCUUAUUGCUGCUAAGAUUGUUGAAGCAGGAAGAAAAGAAUGUGGUGAAUUAUGUGUGACCUCCUAAAGCCUCCAUCAAAGAGAGAAACAUCACUUCUUGUUUCAUUGCAUUGGCCAAAGCAAAUCAUGGCCACGUCCAGUGUCAGGAAGGUGGGGAAGUAGGAUUCUACCAUGUGCUUGGAAAGAGAACCACAAACAUUUGGAGAAUGGCACUAACGACUACCACCAGCACCAUUUAUGGAGUGCUGACUAGAUGCUGGGCAAUUUAAAAAUGAUCUCAGAAUGUUCUCAUGGCAUCUUUAUGGGGUAGGGAUUAUUAUCUCUGUUUUGCAGCUAACGAAGCAGAGCCGUUGAGGAACUCGCCCAAGGUUAUGUACCCAAUAGGAGACAGAGCUAGGACUGGGACCCAGUUAGUUUGACUCCAGAGGUGAUGUCCUUUUUAGAGCCUCAUGUUUGUCCCCUACCUCCUCAGAGAGAGCACAGAGGGCAUGCUUCACAGAUGACUCGGGCUUCCUGCAAGGAGGUGAUGAAGUGACUUUUACAUCAUUUGUUUACUCAGUCAUUCAUUCAUUUGGUUCACGGUUAUUUAAAUGCCACCAUGGCCAAGAGAAGCAGGGAAUAAGACAGACUUGGUCCCUGUCCUGAUGGCUUAAGACUGGGAACGCUCAUCUCCAAUCCCAGAGGUCAAGGAUUUCCUAAAGGUUCAGCUUUAGAAAGUGGGGAGUUUCCAAGGUUGAGGUGGUUCACAGGUUCCCUACUCUAACAGGGGUUCCCCGCAGAUCAGAGGAACUGUGGAACAUUGCCCCAGCAACAGGGCUUCUCAGAAAGCCUGGGAGCUGGCAGUCCCCCUGGUGUGUUUUGUAGGAGCUACAUAAAUGCUCAGUGAUGAGCAGUUAAUGAGCAAUGCAUCCCACAUGCUGGACAGAACCUCUCCUGGCAUUUCUGAAUUCAGAGAAAUUGCUGGGCUCACGCAUGAAGCAGAGGGUUCCAGGAGCCCACACAGGUAAGCUUCCUGGGCAUCUUAAAGCUUGGGAGCGAGGUCACAGUCUUGCUAAGUCACCUGUGACCCUGACAGUCCCCACAUACACCACCCCAGAUGUACAGUGAGACCCUUUGGGAUCAUGUGGCCCAGCCUUUUCCUUCUUCCCCCACCAUUCUUCAGAGCCCAAAGCUCGUUUAUUGCAUGUCUGUUACACAGCCCUCCAGCUCCCCUGGAACCCUUCCAGGGAUGAGGAGCUCACUACCUCCAGAAUCCGUCUGUUCUAAAGUCCUUUCUGAUUGCUUGGCUACUUUGCCCAAGAGCCCACACAACCCACCAGCCACGUGGAGCCAGCACAUGCCAAGACGCCAUGCAUCCUGGGUGCAAUGACACCCUCAUGGCGAUUGGGCUGCAGGAUGGGGAGGGGGUGUUAUGUGAACACGCAAAGCUCCAGGCAGACGGGCCUGGCUCUGCCGGGCUGUCAGAGAUGCUGAAGCCUCAACUCUCUCUGGCUCCCAACAAGUACAACUAUUUAUAAAAGAUGAGGUUUGCCAGGGAACAGGGAGAGGCUGAGACAUCUGCUCCCUCUGCUGGGUUGGCCAGUACUCACCAUAGGUCUCCUGGCCUCAACUCCCUGAUUGGAAGAGCCUCCAAAAGCCCUAGCCCCAUAGCCCCAGUGAGCCUCACCAGCAACAAAUCUUUCUGCCCUGUCCCCAACCUAAAUGGACAUCUCAGGGAUGGGGUGGGCAGGAUGUUCUCAGAAUGGCAGCCCCCUAGCCCUACUCCCAUCUCAAUCCAGCUCUGAGGAGGAGAGGGCAGCUCCUCUCAGAGGGGACGAAGCUGUGCUGCCCUCUGAGCAUGCACUGGAAUCUGUUUGUCUCGUAGAGAGCUGGCCCCUGGCCACCUAGACUUACCUCCCCUCCAAGACUGGAGUGUCUUGUGGGCAGGGACCAUGAAUGGUUUUCAGAGUUCAGGUGGAGCAGGUUCUUGAAGCAGCCAGUGCAGCACAAUGGGUAUGGAGCUGGUUUGGGAGCGUUUGGGAGCAGGCACAGAGACCUAAGUUCAAAUCCUGAUGCUGUGAUCCUCUCUGAGCCUCAACUUUCUCAUUUCUUGAUUGGGGAUGAAAGGAAUCUCUGCCUUUCAGGGUUGUGAUAAUAUUUCAUGGUAGUUGUUUUUAUACCUUCACUGUUUAAUGAAUGAGUUCUGGACUGUGUAGUGAAAUGGAUGGAGCGCUAAUUACAAGGCAGAAGACCUGAGUUCUGCCACUGCCAGUACAAAGUGCUGUGAUCUUAGGAACUAGAUUCCUCCUCUCUAAGCCUCAGUUUCAUCAUCUGCAAGAUGGGUGUAAAAAUGGCAAUGACAUCUGCCCUGCCCCACCCCCACCCCCAGAUGUGUCGUGAGCCAGGAUAGGGGAAUGAAUGUAGGGGAAGGACAAACUAUGUUGAGUGUUGCUUCUAGUGACAGCCAUGCCGUGGGUGACCAAGCGGUGGGAGACUGGAGGGAGUCAAAAUAAACAGACCUCAAAAAACAAAUAUCUCCAUGAUUCAUUCAGUGUUCCCUUAACAAUGGGGGACUGUCUUUGGAGCAAACAGUGCCACCCAUAUUAAUGCAUUUUCUUAUCUGUAAAAUGGGAAUAAAAUAUCCUUCAGGAGACACUAAGAGGAUAACAAAUUUCCUGAGCACCUUGGAGACUGAGAGGAAGGCUGUGGGCCUGCAGCAGAUGAUGGGGGAGAUGAUUCUCCGGGAAUAAAUGAAUGGUGGGGGUGCAAUGAUAGUAACUGGUUAUGAACACCAACUGCAUGCCCUGCUGGGGCACUGACUAUGUUCUUUCUAAUACAAAGAGCCACCAAUGAGGAUUUUAACGCCUUUAUUUUGUAGAUGGAGAAACUGAGGCACAGGGUGUUAUAUAAAGUCACAGGUUUGACAGAUGGUCGAGCCAGGGAUGAAACUCCAUCUCCCUGGCACUAGGGCCUGGCUUCUGAGGUCACAUCAUGCUUCACCCACGGAGAAUUUCCAGGACCCCUCUAAUGAAGGUCAUCAGGGAGGGUCCAAAAGAGAUUGGGCCAUUGUCUGUAGGAUCAGAGGACUGGGACAGGCCAACAGUUUCCCAGGCUGAGGCUGCUCAAGCCCCUUUGGGCAAACCCAGAGAGAUCUUCUUUAGAGGCAGCGAGGCCCAGGGUGUGGCUGGUAGGGCUCAUGCGGUGUAAUGGGUUGAAUUGUGUCUCCCAAAAGGUACAUCCAAGGCCUGGGCCCCAGAACCUGUGAGUGAGACCCUAUUUGGAAGUGGAGUCUUUGCAGAUGUGAGUGAGUUAAGGGUCUUGAGAUAAGAGUAUCCAGAUGGGUGCCCUUAUAAGAGAAAGAAGAGGGAGAUUUCAGACAGGCCCAGAGGAAAAGGGCACGUGGAGACGGGGCAGAGACUGGGGUGAUGAAAGGCAGAGACUAGGGUGCCACAAGCAAAGGAACACCAAAGGCCACUAGGAGCUGCAGGAGGCCAGGAAGGACUCUCGCCUCGAGGCUCCAGAGGCAGUGCAGUCCUACCGACACUUUGAUUUUGGACUUUUGGUCUCCAGAACUGUGGGAGAUUACACUUCUGUUGUUUUAAGCCCAUUCAGUUUUUGGUGAUUUGUUAUGGAGGCCCUGGUGGUGAGAUGAGAUGCCUGGCCGGGCCCCUAAAUGUUAUAGUGGGCCUCUUAUUGAUUACACUGAUUCUUUCUGGAUGACCUUUGCUUUAGGUCUCCCACUAGGGAAGGUGAAUUACCAAUAUCUUCUAUUCCAUUUCCAGGUGCACCAACUCUCUUUGACUUUGGACAUACAAAUUUUCUUUUCCUUUAGGGACCUACUUUUCCCCCUGGUAAAUGGGAGGGUUGCUCCCUUAUGCAGGAGCUAGAGUAGAAAGGGGUGUAGGGGAGUGAGAGGGGGUCCCUCCAAGCAUCUUGAUCCCUUUGCAGUUCCUGGGAUUGGGCUGAGGUGGAAUAUUCUUGGCAGGAAAAGCUGGCUCCUGAGAUUUCAGGAAAAUAAGAGCUUUUCUGGGAGAAAAGAAGGGUGUGAUGUGCUUUAAUGCCUAAAAAGGUUUUGCUAAGGAGCAGAUUGUUUCAGGGAGGAUGGAAAGAGAAGAGAUGCUUCUGGAGGGGAUGGGUGGGACCCUGAUAGUGUCAUGGAGUACUGGAUGGGGCAGCGCUCUAGCCAGAAUCUGGUGUUGAGAGAUCCUGGCUGAUGGGGAAUUCCUCGUCCCUAUCCCUGAAGAGUGAGCUUGGGCUCCACCUCUUGGGAUGCUUUACACCAAAUCCUACUUGGAGACAGGACGAGAGACUGUGUACUGCUCCCAGUCUCCAUAUGAAUCAUGAAUUAGGGUGUGUGUCCAUUUGAGUUGGACCUUGAAGGAUGUGGCAGGGAUUUUUCUAUAAAAGGUAUCCUGGAGAAUUGAAGCCCCCAUCCUGGGUAAAGUUGAGAAUUGUGUGGCCUCCCAGUGGGAGGUAAGAUUAGAGGGGCAGGAGAUAUGGAUGGAAGGAGAACUCACAUUUUCUGCAGGCUACUGAGAUGCUAGGCACUGCUCUGGCCUUCAUAGGUUUCUUUUCAUUGUAUCCUCAGCACAAUCUUACAAGGUAGGGAUUACAAUGUCCACUUUAGGUUCAAAAAAGUUGAGUAAAUUUCCCAGAAGCAUAGAGUAUGUUGGGGGAGCUGCCUGACCUCUAUGGAGCCAACUUUUGGAGGAUCUUAAUAGCCUUAAGAAAUGUUUAAACUGGAGGACAUAGGUAAUAGGGAGCUAUGGCAGGUGUUUGAGCAGGAGCAUGGCACAAUAAAAAGGAUGCCACCAGAGACCUGGCAGCUGAGGGGGAGACUAAUAGUAAAAUAGUAAUACAAAAUAAUAACCAUGAUAAUAAGAAUGAAAGACUCAGGAGUACCUUGGCUGACUUAGCAUUCUUUCUAACACAGGGCACCUGGAGGUGAGGCUGGAAUGAAGGCAUGCCCAGGAUGGAGAGAGGCCUGGAGGCAAGGGCGGGUGGAUCAGAGGAGGGAGAGGGUACGAGGGAGCAGGGAGAGAGGGGGCUGAUGGGAUCUGGUGGCUCGGGUGGAGAGAAGACAGGAAGAUGGGGCUUUGGGCGGGACUUUGGGCUUUUCUCCUGACACCCAGCCAGGGCCAGAAAGGCAGCUGUGUCAGGGCCAGAGUCAGGUGUGGCUUGACCACUAGCCAGCUGUGCGAUCUUGGGUGAAUCACUUCACUUCUCUGAGCCUCCGUCUGCUCAUCUUUCAUAUCUAGAGAAUAUAUUCUUCCCACCUCAAUCCCUGCCGACAAGAAUUUGAUUGUGUUCCAUUUUCCCUCCUGCUGGCCCAGAGCUACUACUCUGAGGGCAAUGGCCAACCAGGGAAGAAACUUCCGUCUCUCUAACUCCUUUCUGCGACGGGAAUGGGGAGAGCUUUCCUUUGAAAGGGUCAUUUGAAGUUGCCAUGUGAACGAAGGCAAGGAUGCAACAGCUGGAAAAGGGCAAAGAAAGGCAUUCCUGGAAGGGAGCACAGCCCGGGAACGGCAUGGAGGCAAGCCUGUGCCUCGCUCCUGAGAACUUCAUUGCUGUCUGGUUAAUGUUGGGGCUCCCUGGUUGGUUACUGGACAAUCUCCAAGCACUGCCUGCACUCCAGUACCUACAGGACACUUGCAGGUGGGGUCUGAACCCAUUUCUCAGUUGAGACAAGUUGAGGCAGGGAGAAUAUUGCUGCUAAGCAGGGUGAAAGAGCAGGGAGCAGAGGCCUUGUCAGUGCUGCUGGCAGUAACGAAGCUGUCAGGGAGCAGGCUGCGGGGGGAGGGUUUCACUGCAGUCACAUUAUUUUUGCUCCCAAAUUGAAAUUAAAGAUCAUUUCAACUCCAGCUGCUGGAAGUGCCUGGGUUCAUUACUUCUUGGGAUUUUGUCCACGUUCUCGUUCUAGAUUCAAUUAAAGCAAUUUAAAGUAAUUAAUUAAAUUUGUUAUUUGAUUAAUAAAGAUAGAAAUUUGGCUAAGUUGCUGUGAAGGAGGAAGCCACUUUGGAAUUUGCUAGCAGAGGACUUGGAAAGACUCACUUCUGCCUCCUCUUUGGACUCCUCCUCCCGCUAUUUACCCACUGUAUCCCCUACCCUUUCAACUAGGGCUCAGGAAUCAGAGCUUCAAGGUCAGGGUUUGAAGUGUGUGGAUGUGGAAGGCUGGGUGCUAGAGCAGUGCGAUCCGCAGCUGGAAAGACAGGAGAUGAAUAAGGAGUGGUAACAGCAUUGCUCCUCUGGAGGGGCAGGGUCCUGAGUAGGGGCCAGAGGGCUUUGGGCAGGCUAGGAACACAGUGUACAUGCACGGAAGCUGGGGGGCUGGAGAAGUGGUGAGAUGCCAAAAAUCAAACUGCAGGGGCCGGGGAUGGGGGAAACAGCAGUGACAAGGGGAGUGGGGUGUCUGGCCAAGGCCAAGAAGAAACUGUCCGGGAGAAACUGGGUAGAGGUAGCAGGUGCCGACAAUGGCAGUGGGUCAAACCAGAAUGGGAAGGUCAAGCUAGACACCAGCAUGGAAACUCAGUUUGGGUCAAGGUUUAAAACUCAGAGGGUUUCUAAGUGUGACACACACCCCAGACACUCCAGAAAAUUUACAUCAGUAAACAUGAUGACAUUUGAAAAAUCUGCAUAUAAAUAAACACCAUAAACAGAAUCAAAAGAUAAAUGAAGUACUGAGAAAAAGACUUAAAGCUCAUAUCACAGACAAAAGCUAGAUUCCUUCAUAUGUAAAGAGUGCUUCCAAAUAAAUAAGAAAAAGAAAAACAACCUAGAAGAAAGGUCAGGAAAUGGGCAGUUUGUAGGAAAGGAACUACAAAUACCCCUUAAGCAUGUGCAAAGUUGCUCAUUCUCUUCCAUAAUGAGAGAAAUGAAAAUGAAGAGUAGCCAAUCAUUUCAUUGUUAUCCAUCAGACUGAGCAAGUUCCAAAUACACACUGGCUUGAAAUUGGUGUGGAAAAUAGCAAUCUCACAUAAUGCUGUUACUACCUCUAUGGAGGCCAGACUGACAUUAUCUAUCAAAAUUAUAAAUUAAUGUAUUAUUUGACCUAGAGAUUCAGCUUCUUGGGUUUAUCCUGCAGAUAACAUGAUGGUUUAUUGAGAUAUUGUUUGUAAUAGUUUGAUAGGGAAACAACAGAAGAGCCCAGGCAUAGGCAAUUGGCAAAGAAAUGAUGGUAUGGCCAGGUGUGGUGGCUCAUGCCUAUAAUCCCAACACUUUGGGAGGUUGAGGUGGGCAGAUCAUCUGAGGUCAGGGUUUGAGACCAGCCUGGCCAACAUGGUGAAACCCCAUCUAAAAAUACAAAAAUUAGCUGGGCGUGGUGGUAUGUGCCUGUAAUCCCAGCUACUUGGGAGGCUGAGGCAGGAGACUUGCUUGAACCCAGGAGGCGGAGGUUUCAGUGAGCCAAAAUCAUGCCACUGUACUCCAGCCUGGGCAACAGUGUGAGAUACCAUCUCAAAAAAAAAAAAAAAAAGUUAAAGAAAAGAAAAGAAAUGAUGGUGUGCUUAGGCAAUGGAAUAUUAUACAGCCGCUAAAAGAAAGAAGCUCUCCGUGUCCUGGGGAGGACUGCUGAGACAGGCUCUUGGGUAGAGAAAGAGCAAGGUGCAGAACAAUGAGCAUGAUAGAAAAGCCUAUGUAAAUAUGUGUGCAUGUUUUCCUAUAAAAGUGUAGAGAAUUCUUAGAUUGCUAGAUUGCUAGGGUCUGGGAGCAAUGGUUGCCUCUAAGGAGGGGAAUUCAAUGACUGGGAAAGGGGGACUUACUCUUCCCUGUAUAUAUCUUUCUGUCUUUUGAGUUUUGUACCAAGUGUUUCCUAUUCAAAAGAAUAAAUAAAAUUACAAUGAAAGAACACACCCCAGGCAGGCACCAACAUGUAACGAUGUGACAAAGCCAGGGUCAGAGGUACAGGGAGAGGUCAAGACCAAUACGAUCUUCAGGCCCAAGGGAAGUAGGGAGGAGGCUCACCGAGCCUGUCCCUGGGAAGAGGUGAGGACCAGAUCCUUUUGGAAGCCUCCUCAGGCAAGGUGUCUAUGCCUGCUGUCUUGUUUCAUCCUCAAGCAGCUCUGGGAGGAAGGUACACUCAUUCCUGCUUUACAAAGGAGGAAACUGAGGCUCAAGGUGGGGCUCAGAAAUGGGGCUGGAGUGCCUCAUCAUUAUCUCAGCUGCUCUCGCCUGCUGGCCUGGAGGAUGAGGCUGGGACUGAGUCUGGGCUUGGCCUGUCUCCACUGGGCUUGGCUGGCCACUCUGCCCAUUGGCAGCUUGAAGCAUGGGUGCUGAGCUGGACAUCUGGUGGGCUGGCUAGAGCUGGAAGACCCUGGGAAAGAUGAAGAGAGUGAGGAGCUUGGCUCUUAAUCUGGAGAGUUUGGAGCGAGGGUGGCAGACACCUCAGGGAGGGUGAUAUCCGAGGAUAGUUCCAAAGAGGGGCUCUGAGCCGGACUGACCCCUUGACUCUCCUCCACUGGCGAGCAGAUGGCUGAGUGGGCCUUGGAAAGACGGGGCACUGUGACUGAAGUCAAAAUACAUGCAACACCCCUCAAGGUGCAAGGGGAAAACACACUUUCCAGCACGCUGAGUUAAAAGGGCCUUGCAACAACCUGUGAGAUGUGUGCUGACUGCCCACAUUUGCCAGAUGAGAAGCUGAGGAUUGGAGAUGUCCAGGAACCUGUCCAGCAUGACACAGUCCUGAGCCUCUUUCUCAAUCUGUUCUCACCGAGCCUUGGGUUUUACCAUCUGUUUUUGGGUUUCCAAACUCACCUCAUCUUGGGUUAAUGUUCCUGCUACUCUGACGCCUACCUAAGUGGUUGAUGCUCCUUCCUGGUUCUUCUAGGCAUCCUGGGAAGUGGCCACUCACCUCCAAAGGACAAGGCGCUGUGUCUGGGAAAAGCCAGAGCCCAUCAGCAUUGAUCAGCGAGAUGCAAGAGUCAGAGCUUUAUCCAGGGAUAAUUGAUAUGCCAGUAAACAGCACACAGUUCAUGUACACCAUCUGAUGAGUUUAGACAUAGGCAGACACGCCAGAAAUCACCACGAUCAAGGUAACACACGUAUCUGUCACGUCCAGAUGUACCCUUGUGCCCCUUGCUUUCGGUUUGUUUUUGUGGUGAGAGCACUUCACGUGAGGUCUACCUUCUGAACCCAUUUUUGGCACCCUACGGUGCCAUUUACUCCAGGCACUAGAGCACAGAUCUUUAGGACUGGGUCAUCUUGCGCCACUGACACUCAAGUUACAUGUUGAAUAACUCCCUGUUUGUUCCUCUCCCAGCUCCUGGCCACCAUCAUUCUACUGCCUCCAUGAGUCUAACUACUCCAGACCCUUCACACAAGUGGAACCUGCAGUAUUUGUCCUUCUGGGACUGGCUGAUUUCACUAAACAUAAUGUUCCCUGGGCUCACCCAUGUUGUUGUAUGUGGCAGGAUUCCCUCCUUUUUUAGGGCUGAAUAAUAUUCUGUUGUUAUAUGUAUAUAUAUCACAUUAUCUUUUCUUUUUUUUUUGAGAUGGAGUCUCACCCUGUUGCCUAGGCUGGAGUGCAGUGGCGUGAUCUCGGCUCACUGCAACCUCUGCCUCCCAGGUUCAAGUGAUUCUCCUGCCUCAGCCUCCCGAGUAGCUGGGAUUACGGGUUCCUGACACCAAGCCUGGCUAAUUUUUGUAUUUUUAGAGAGACGGGGUUUCACCACGUUGGCUAGGCUGCUCUCGAACUCCUGACCUCAAGUGAUCCAUCCUCCUCGGCCUCCAAAAGUGCUGGGAUUUACAGGCAUGAGCCACCCACACUUGGCACCAUCACUCUAUCUUAUCUUUAUCCAUUUCUCUGUCAUCAGGCAUUGAGGCUGUUUCAGUAUCUUGUCUACCGUGGAGAGCGCUGCUGUGCAUAUAGGAUGCAGGUAUCUUAGAGAUCCUGGUUUCAGUUCUUCUGGAUAUAUACCCAAAUAAGGGAUUAUGGGAUCAUAUGGUAGUUCUACUUUUAUGAUUUGAAGAACCUCCAUACUGCUUUCCAUAGCAGCUGCCACCCCCAUUUAUAGAUGGACAAAUUGGGGCCAGAAGUCCAAGCACUUUGACUUAGGCUACAAGGCCUAUAAGGGCUAAAGUCGAGAUGGGCCCCAGCCCUGAAGCAAAAUCCUCCCCAGGCAUCCCUGGCACUGCCUCUGAGGGAUUCAUGCUUGCCACUUGAGGGGCUUGGUCCAGCCAGGCAGCCAUGCAGGCAGACAGGGAAAGAUUCACCAGGAUGCAGAACUUCUUGGUUCCCUGGACAGAGCCCAGGACUCAUGGGCCCCAUGGCCUGGUGUGGGGAAGAAGGGGAGGUGGUCCACCCCAUGUCCUGCCCCAGCCCAAGAGAGUGAAAGGCCUUCAUCCAAGGGCUGCCUAUGUGUGUCCGGUGACACCUGGAACCAUCCUGUUAACCCCUCCUGUUAACCCCUCCAUUCUUCCCAUGCUCUUGUGGACAACUCAGGCCUCUAACUCUCAGGAGGCAGGACCACUAUCUUGCACAACUGCCAGGGGCAUAAUUCCUAUCCUGUGGAAUGUGAGUCAGACAAUGUGCGCAGGGCCGGAGAGGGGAAGGGACCUGGGUGAUGCCACAUCGUAGUGAGGAAGCCACCCCCAUGGAAUUUUCUCACCAUGGGUCCUCAGGCCCAUUUUGGAGGCAGCAGGGUUGUUCCUCUUGAGAAGGGAGCCUGGAGCUGGGGGCUUAGUGAGUAAUUCAGAGAGGAAGGGGCUUGGGAGCCACCCUAGAAGGAGGCGUGGGCAGCCCCGAGGUCUUUUGUGGGGAUGGCUAAGUGAGCAGAAUUACCAAGACCAACGUGGGGGGAGAGGAAGGCUGUGUGGUCUGUUGUGCAAAGAGUGGGAGGUGAAGGCAUCCGGCCAGCCCUCAAGAAGAUGUCUCCGGGGCCUGGGAGGCCUUUUGAUUCCUAUGCCCUCUUUUUCCCUUCUAUGGCAGGGCUGCUCCUGCCAGCCAGUGAAAGUCACUGUGUCCAGGGUCACCAUCUUGGGAAGGCUCUGGGACCUCCUGCAGCACAUUCCUGGCUGAUGGUGCUGAUUUGGCCCCAAAUCCCUUUAGAGACCACCCAAGGCCCACCACACCACAGUUGAUUUUUUAAUAAGGGAGCUUCCGCGUGGAGGCAGCUUGGGCGGGCAGCCAGCGCCGCCUCCACAAGUUCAAGGCCACCCUCCUGCUCACAUUUAAUGGUUUCUUCUCAUUUAAUUUUUAACUGAUAAAAGCUGUCUUUGGAGCCCGAGCUUUUUUUCUGGUAGCUCUGGGGUAAAGGAAGAGGGAGGAAGAAUUCGUCCGCCUGGGGUGAAGGAAGCCUGGUUUGACACUCGGCCUAGCUUUCCUGCCUCCCUUGGGAAUCUGUCCACAUUCUGGCUCUGCUGGGGUUCAAGGCAGGGCCAGUUACGAUGUGGCGGCUUUUCAGUUCAAACCCAUGGUGAGCUGGCAUAGAGAAUAUUUGGUUAACAGGUCAGAAUUUGGAGCCAGGCUGCAUAGGUUCUAAUCCUGGCUUGGCUACCAACUCUGGGUGAUCUUGGGAAAGUUAGUUACCCUUUCUGUGUCUUGCUUUCUUCAUCUAUAAAGUAAGAAUACAGAUAUGCUCCUCAGGGGGCUCUUUUGAGUCUUUUCCUUGAACUGGGCUGGAUGACCAGGCCCAGUGUGGUGCCACUGCCUGCCUGCCAUGGGCCCCAUACACCCAGAGCAGCACUGGCCGCUUCCUCGGGACUCCUACUGCUGGCUGGAAUGUCCUGCUGUUUGGUGUCACUUAAACAUGAUCCUGGUCACCACAGGAGCCUCUCGCUAGCAUCUAAGCCACACCUUCCUGAUUCUGCAUGGCUCUGGCCUCCUGCUACCCCCUGUCUUAUCAGCAAUCACAUCCCUGCUCCACCUAUGUCACCCAAACCACCAUAACACAGCAGCUUUCAUCCCUGGGGUCCCCUGCAGUGCAGGCAUUAGACUGUUGGACCUAUAAGAGCUCAUCUCGUCCUCCAAAUAUCCCUCCAAAACUGGAUUAUCACUCUAUUUGCAAAGGAGUCAGCAUGGGUCAUUUGCUCAAGGUCACACAGCCCAUAGAGAGUGUGGAGGAAUUCGAACCUGUAUCUGCCUGCAGAUGGGCAGGGUUCUGACAUGUGGGAACAGGGGUGGCAGCCUCUUGGGUCAGAGACACAGCAAGGCGGUAGAGGGACCAGUGUGGCACCCGUUUCCCCAGGGAUAACUGGGGAAAGGGAGAAAAUGAGGAGGAGGUUUGGGCUCACUGGAGGGUGCUUCUUUCUUAGCAUCAUUGCCAGCUUGAAAUGGUCACAGACCCUUACUGGAAAAAGGCAAGGUGAAGGAUGGAGCCUGGGUGAGGAAGCCCAGAUUGGGGGGUUAAAAAGAAAAUCCUGCCGGGCACAGUGGCUCAUGCCUGUAAUCCCAGCAUUUUGGGAGGCCAAGGCAGGUGGAUCAUCUGAGGUCAGGAGUUCGAGACCAGCCUGGCCAACAUGGUGAAACCCUGUCUCUACUGAAAACACAAAAAGUAGCCGGGUUGGUGGUGUGUACCUGUAAUCUCAACUACUCGGGAGGCUGAGGCAGGGGAAUCAUUUGAACCCGGGAGGUGGAGGUUGCACUGAGCUGAGAUCACGCUACUGCACUCCAGCCUGGGUAGAAUCCAGCCAUUUUGGUGGGUGGGCCUUAUCUGGGCCCCAACCUCAAUAUAUAGUUACUAAUCGUGUGAGAAGAAGAAAAGAACAUUGACUUAGUAGUCAAGACUGCCUUGGCUUAAAGCCCUUGACCACAGUUUUCGAUGUGACCUCAAGUUAGCAGCGUAACCUCUCUGUGGCUGUUUCCUCAUCUGUAAAAUGGAACCAUAACACCUACCUUGCAGGACUGGAUGGGGUAUUGGAUGGAAGCCAAACUCUGCAAGUCACAGGGCUCUUCCCUGAUAGCUGUCCUACUCCUGUGUAUUUGAGCAGAGCUAUGCCCCUGUCUGCACCUCCAUUUCCGGGUCUGUGAAAAGGACGAGGUGGGAGAAGCUGAUUCUAGCAGCCCCUCCAGCCUGACCAGCCAUGAUAGAUGACUUCAGGGAGGCUGGGCCAGACCUCCUCGGAAGCCACAGGAAUGUGAACAAGGGGCCAGUUGGGGGCAAAAGAGUUUCCUGCAGCAGCGUGUUUCUGCUUCCGCCUGCUAGCAGAGCAGAGACAGCAAUUUGUCCUGAGCUCGAGGAGACACAAAACUGGAACAGAAAGAAGGCGCUCUGGGGAAGAGGAAUUGGCCAUGGGGAAAUCACGUUCACCUGCAGGCUGGGAAGGAAGCUGAGGCAGGAGGCGGGAAGGCCUGGCUGCCCCUCCCUAUGUGACGCCUGCAGCCUGGGAUGACUGCAAUGUAGGAAGAGGCGGGAAUGGCGUCGGCUGCUCUGGAGCCCCACACCUAGUUAGGGACAUGUGACAGAUUACCAGGGACAUCUCAGCUUGAAGCAUAAAUCAGGGCACAGCCCAUGUUUUCCUGCUUUCAAAUCCAGGGAGCUGGAGAGGGACCUCUAGGAGCAAUUGACUCUGGCCAUGAGCCAUGGGCUGUGUGGCCCUGCCUGCGCUGAUGGUGCCUAUCUACCCCUCAGAUGCUGCGUGACCUCAUCCUGCUCCCUUGAUCUCAGUGAGCCUCAGUUUCUGCUUCUGUGAAAGGGGAGAAUGACAGUACCUACUCCACAGGGAUGUUGGGAGGAUUAGAUGCACGUGACAUGUAGAGAAGGGUGGCUGGCACUUGGCAAGGGCUUCAUAAAUGUGAGCUAAAUGGUCUCACCUGUUCCUCACCACACCUGUGAAGUGGCAGUUGCUGUUCUCUUGAUGAGAUGAGAAAAGUGAGGCUACAGAUGGGAGUGAUUACCCGAGGACCUGUAGCUUGUUCAGUAGAAGAGCAGAAGUGGAAGCCAGGGUGGGCGGAUUCUCAGGUCUGCCUCCUCCAUCCUUACUCCUAGGACUGUUCUGUGAGGCUCUGAGUGGGGGUGGGAAGGGAGAGGGCCCCCAUUCCAAUUACUUUCAGUGCAGUUGAAAGAAGCUCCAGGUCCUGGCUUCUGUGGGGCUGUGGUAGGUUUAGGACAUCUGCUCCAUCCCCCUUUUUCCUUUUUAAAAUAACUUUUCCCCUUCUCGAGCCCCAUCAUGUGCCAACCAUGCUGGGCAUGCCACCCACAGUAUUUCAGGCCUUGUGGGCUAGGUGCUCUUUCCCCCACUUCACAAUUAUGGAGAAACAGAGACGUUAAUGCCUUACCCUACGCCAUACAGCUGCUCAGAGCUAACAAAGCUGGGACUCAAGACCCUGCAGCUCUGCUCUCUGCACAGCUGUAGCACUGAAGUCUGAUGCCCACAACCAGCACUGCACCCUCUUUGUGCUUCCGUUUUCCAUCUGUAAAAUGAGAGUGGUAAAGGAGUGUUUAUGUAUCUUCUAGGAUUUUGUGAAGAUUGACUUGGUACAUGUACAUAUAUACCCACAUUAACUUGGUAAGUGCACAUAUAUACCCACAAAACAUUUGGAAGAGUGUCUGAUUUAGAGUAAGUUCUCUACAUGUUGAAAUUAGCUGUUUUCAGCUCACCUGAUUAGCAUGGGUCAUAAGAUCAAUGACAUUGGGUUUCCUGAGUCCGUUGCCUUGUGAUUCCUAAGUCACGACUUGGAGGCUUGCCUACUUAGUGUAUAUUCAGAAAAUACUGCUGGGGCAUUGGUUGGACUCAGGCACUUAACAAUAGCUCAUUUAAUCCUCACGAUCACCCUCUGAGAUAGGCAGGGACUAUUCUCAUCAUUCCCAAUUUACAGAUGAGCAAACUGAGGCAUAGAGAGGUGCAGAAACUUGCCCAAACAGACUUUGAAGCGGGGUGGGUGGCUUGGCUUCAAAGCCACCUUGCUUCACCAGCUGCCUCUCCUCUCCAGAAUGUGAGAGCCUGAGUGGAAGAGGUGCUGCUUUCCUGUAUGGGCUUGAAGCCAACAAUCAUCCCCAACUAUUCACCAUGUAAUUAAUGAUGAUUAUCUUAUCUCUUGGGAGCGAAAUAGACACACGGUGACGAUGAAGCCUGUUUUGCUAAGAUCUGUGUCCUCUUUUCCCAGGAGAUAACAGCAGAAACCAAAGUGGUGAUCUCUCAAUAUUGUUCAGGAAGGAGAAUUAUGAAGCAGGCAAAAAAUUGUUUGGCCUAUUAGCUGAUAUCCCAAAUGAGUUUGUUUUUAUUUAAAAAAAAAUCUAAAUCAGGGUCUCCUUGGAGAAAGGAAGGCCAGGCCUGGUCAUGGUGGGUCCCUGACAUGGUUCAUGGCCAGAGUGACCUCUGCAAGGAUCUGCUGAAUGAAUAAUCAUGUCCUGGGAGUGAACCCAUGUGUGACAGCCAAUUCCAGGACUCACCAAAGAAGAGAGGCCUCAGGGGUCAUCUGAUCCAGUAUCGCUCUCUUCAGAAAGGAAGAAAUCCAGGCCCAGAAAAGGGGAGUGACUUAUGCAAGGUUGCACAGUAGACUGAUGACUGUCAUAGGUAGUGACUAUAAGGGCUGGCGACAUGGGUGGUAAAGGAAUUUACCGAGACAGUGGUAGGUGGAGAAAGGCGAUAUGAAAAGAUGUUGUAAGAGAGCAACGUGUAGAUGAGCAGGAGAGGAGCCGACUGCAAGGAGACAAAGGCUUGCUGGGGAUUUCCCAGGUCUGUGCUUGUGCUGGAGAAGGUCACUUGUAAUGUUGACAAUGCAGUGAGCUAACUUGCAUUUUUUAAUCAGCCAAGGGUCUGGUGGUAAGUUGGGUACGGGAAGACAGUGAGUUACUUGUGCAGGAGGGCUAUGUGUGCUGGACUGUGAAGAAAGGCAGAUCUGUAGCUGAUUUUCUUUUUCUUUUUACUUUUCUCUGGUUUUGCCACCCUAACUCUGCUUCCCUAAUCAGGACUGCACAAGGGUGGCCAGACCUUCAGGCCCCCAGUCACUCCUUAUGACCUUAACAUUGACAAGACGCCUCAGCUUUGCCUGCUCUAGACUACAGAGUAACAAGGAAAGAGUGUAGGUGAUGGCUCAAGCAAACCUGCCUGUUCCUAGGACGGUAAACUCCAUAAGGGCAGGCAACCUUGAAGUCUUCUUUACUGACUCCCUAGGGCCCAGCACAGAGCCUGGCAUACAGUAGAGGCUCAAUAAAUAUCUUCAGAAUGACUUACUGAAUGAAAGACCCAGUGUGCAGUGAAAGUGGAAGAGCAGAGUCAACAGAGCAGAGUAAACUCCCUAAUGGAGUCUCAAAGGGAGGGAGAUGAGGAAGACUCAGGCGAUGAGGCACCUUCUUCAGAGGCUACCAUCCUCUCCAAAGAUCUGUUCCCAAGGGAAGUUCUCUUGGAGAAUUAUCCUCAAGGAGAAAGUAUAUGUGCCUUGCAGGGAGCUGAGGGUAGAGCUGGGAAAAUUCUCCAGGCCCCAGCAGGGCACCCCACCCCCAGCCACUCAACCUGCACUUCCCCAGGCUAUAUCUGGCCUCACUGAGGCCUGAUCUUACUCGGACCAUGAACCCUGGCAAUGAACCACCAAGUGACAGCUCAAAGGCCUAUCUGUAAACUGCCCACCCUGGUGUUUUAGUAGAAGCCAGUUGGGCCCUGUUUUCCUGGGACCCUGAAAGCUCUCACCUGGGGACACAAAGUGAAGGGCAGCUCUCUACUGUGAUAGGAAAACUCUUCUGACCUAUUUCCCUUCCCAGCAUGGAUACUGGAAGAGCCGGCCAUUUCCCAGGGGACACAGAUCCUGGCUGCUGCAGACUGAGACCUGUGCUUAAAGCCAUCCUGAGCAACCUCAUCAUAGUAAAACAGCAGCUGCUGCCAGGUAUCGGGAGCCAGUUUUGUGCCAGGGUCUUUGUUCUGUGCUCCAUGCAUCUCACAUUGUCUCCUGCAGUGAACCGGGGCAGUGAGCCCCCUUGAGCUGAGCCGAUGUUGGAAUUGGGGCCCGGAGACAUACAGCACCUGAUCAAGGUCACAUAGCCAAAAAGGAGCAGCGUGGGUUGCUGAAUGUUGUCAGCCUCCAGAGCCCGUGCCUGGAACACUGCCUGACAUUGACUGCCAGGGAGAGGGGAUGUCACAGACCCGGCCCCAUGACCCAAGAUGAUCCAGCCAGCCCAGCCAGGCUUUUUGCCCUGAGUAGGGGCGAGUGUAAGUUUUAUUCCAGGUUGACACAGGGAGCAUCGCCUGGGAUCCUGCAGAUUCCCAGUGUGAACCUCAUCUUCUUAGCUGGGCGGAAGCUCCUUGGGAGCAGAGGCAACUCUGAUGCCUCCACAGCACCGUGCGUUGGUCCUGUGGCUGGGCCAGGCCAUGGUUUCAAUCCUCAUGGGUCUCUUGUUCAACUGGCUCAGGGUUGGGCUGCCUGGCAGAUUGGAAACUGGAGCCAAGAGACCCAGUUCUAGUCUCAGCUUUGCCACCUUCUAGCUCAGCAACCUUGGAGAGCCUCAGUCCUCACAUGGAGAUGAUAACUCCCUCGCAGACAUGCAGUGAGGCACUGCACCCUCCCACACUCGUGUGGCCUCUUCAAGGUUAACUGAGAACAUCCACAGCAUCUUCUCCAUCCAUUCCUCCCUUGCAGGGCUGUGGCAGUGGGAAGGCCAUGGAGAUCCUGCUUCUUCCCAACCCCAGCUCUUGGCCCCUUCCUUGGUUCCAGCUUUGGAUCUCUCAGUCAGCUAUUGCCACAAAAAUGAGAACCAAGCCACCCAAAAUCUCAGUAGCUUAUAUCAACAAGCACUUAUUUUCCCAUCGGUGGGCCUGAAGGUUGAUCCAGGUUCUCUUAGUCUCAGCUGGGCUCAGCCGGGCAGCUCUGCUGCAGGCUGCAGGUUGGGCUCACGCUGUGUAAGUUCAUUGUACCACCCAGCGGAAGGGCAGCAGCCCUAUAAAGGUACCUCUGGCUGUUAUCACCAGAGCACAAGGGAGCAGCGGGUCCAUGUGCACCAACACAUUUCAAUCCUCUGCCCCGUCAUGUCAGCUAAUAUUUCUCACUCAAAGCAAUGCACUUGGCCAAGCCCAACUUCAACAGUGCAGGGAGCGUGCCUUGACCAGAGUGGGAAGAGGUGGGGAGUAAAUAUUUGCUGAACCAUCAUCCAAUCUAGCAUGGCUGGAAAACCCCAAACUGAAUUUACAAGUAAGGACAGGCUCAUUUUGGCCACUGCUGGCUCAGGCACCCUUUUCCCCAGGAGGUUCAAAUGCUGAGUGAAGGGGUAGUCUGUGCUGGGAAAAGGGGCUACAGAGAGGUAAAAGGAUGGGGUAUUGUUUUACUGUGUGGCCCUGGGCAAGCCCCUUCCUCUCGGCACCCCCAUUCACCCAGCUGCACAUUCUCCAGGGCCCCUUCUAAUGGCCCUGACAGCCCCAGGCCCCUUCCUCCUUGCUUUCUCCUGCCUGGCUGGAGUCUGUGGACCACACAGAGCCCUGUGCAGCACCCAACUGGCUGGCACUUUUGCUCACAAACGCCUUUCCUGGAGAAGCAGAUCUAAUUUCCUCCCUGUGAAAAAACAGUUGUCUAGCACUCAGGCAGCCUCCACCGUGGGGCAGCCAGCUGCUUCCAUGGUGAGGACAAGGGUGGGUAAAAUCUGGAUCAGGACAAGCUUCAGGCACACGGACAGUAAUUGGUAUGAAAUAAUCAUUCUUUUCUCAGGUAAGGGCUGUGGUAAGGGCAGGUGGCAGUGCUGUGUGCUGUGCCAGGAUGGUUUGUGAGGCUGAGAGUAACUCCCCCUCCCCAGGCCUCAGUUUACCCAUCUGUGAAAUGAGGGGUGGGGGUUCUGCAGGGUGUUUUCUAGCUCUCAAGUUCAUGGCUGUCAAUGGAUCUACCUUUGUUCAAGUUUGCAGUAUCAAGAUACAAUUCAAAUUCCCAGCCUCUUCCUUUCUUCCCCUUCUUUAAUUUUUUUUUUAAAGAUGGAGUCUUGCUCUGUCACCCAGGCUGGAGUGUAGUGGCAUGUUCUCAGUUCACUGCAACCUCUGCCUCCCAGGUUCAAGCAAUUCUCCUGUCUCAGCCUCCUGAGUAGCUGGGAUUACAGGAGCCUGCCACCACGCCUGGCUAAUUUUUGUAUUUUUAGUAGAGACGGGGUUUCACCAUGUUGGCCAAGCUGGUCUCGAAUUCCUGACCUUGUGAUCCACCCUCCUUGGCCUCUCAAAGUGCUGGGAUUACAGGUGUGAGCCACUGUACCUGGCCAUUUCCUUCUUUAAUUAUAAACAUGCGCAACUGGAACCAUCACCCCUCUCUCCCCUGCUGCUGAGGUGUGUCCUCUCUGCAGCUAGCUGGCUGCUGGGGCUAGACAAGCCAAGCCACAGACAGGGGCAGUUGGGGAUCCCUGUUUUAUAAACAGCACCUCUUCCAGGGGCUGGCUCUGAGAUCUCAGCCAACCAGGUAGGUCCCUGGGGAUGGAAGAGGCUUUUCCAAAAGAGGGUCACCCAGUUCCCAGAUAAGGCUCUCCUGAUAACCCUUGAGGCAGCUCCACAUGCCCUCCUAUUCCUCCAGAGAGCACAAAGCCAGGACUGUAUUCACAGCAGCAGAACCCCCAGGAGGCAGGAGGUAGAACACAGAAGUGCUGGUGAGUUCACCUCCCGAGAGAGCUGAAUGCUGUCUUCGGAGACCGGCAAACCUCAUCUCACUGUCCUCCACUCACCUGUUGACAAAGAGGGAGAAGUCAGUGGGUAAUGAUUUCCAGGUGGGGAUAUGAGAAACGGAGGCUUCAACCCCAUCCAUCCUCAGUCCCUUUUUGGCCCCCCACCCACUGGUGGCUCUUACAUGUCAGACCCAUGUAAAUGGCCCAGCCUCUGUGUCCCAUUUUCACCAUGCUCUCUGGGCAAGCUCAUCCACCCCGGUGACUGUAGGUAGCUGUGGCAUAAGCUGGCACCUGCUGCAAAUUGCCCUCUCUCAGCUCCAGACUCAGGGACAGUCCCAUAGAAAAACACAGGGUGCUGUCACUAUCCCAGGCUUCAAAGUGAAAGAGAAGAGAGCCAUUGCCAGCACCUGCCAGAACUUACAGAGCUAGAUAGAGAGGGAUGUUCUGGAGCAGCUGUGUCUUCAGUAGAGUGACAUAGCCCCCCUGAGGUAGUGACAGAGUGGGGAACAAGUACCCCGGCUUCCUCCCUUCCCUCCGUCUGCUUUCCAGUCCCGUGGGUGCAACCCAACCAGAAGCUAAUGGCCAAGAACACGAGAGACUGGUUGCAGCCCAUACAGUCAGCCUCCCAGGAUUCAGAGCAGGGGGGAGAGGGGCAGAAUAUGGUUCUAGAGGGGGCAAAGCGAAGAUGCCCAGCUUGGGGCACUGAGGAAGGAAGAUGCCAUCCAGAUCUCUUAAGCUUACUGAGCCUUCUCUUGCUCCUAGCACCCCUUCUGGGCUCUCUUUGCCUGUAUACAUCAGGGGCUGGGAAAUUUCAGGGCUUUGGAUUCAGACAGUCCAGGAUCUGAAUCCUAUUUGGAUUCACUGGUUCUGUGACCUUGAGCAAGUUAUUUAACCACUUUUCACCUCAGUCUCCUCACCUGCAAAAUGGGAACAAGGGCACCUAAUGCAGAGAUGCAAAGUGCUUGACACACAGUAAGUGCUCAAUACGUUUAUUUAAUUUUUAUCCAGAUUUAUGUACCCUUUAUUUCUUGGCUGCUCUGCAGAACUUCUGAGCUGGUCUCUGCCCUGUUCUCAGCCCCUCAAAUUCAUCCUCCACGCUGCCCCGGAAUGCUCUUCCUGAAACCCCAGAUAGAUUAUGCCACAGCCUUCUUCAAGAACUAUGAAUGGCUCCCCUAUGCCUAGACAAUGCAGCUAAAUUCUUCAGUGUAACAACAAAAGUCAAUCAGGGUCUGGUCUUAACCCCACCUUACCAGACACUGGCAAUCCUUCCUUUGGUCUUUUUGCUCAAGUGACAUUGAUCUACUCCCUGUCCCCAAAGAGCCAUUAUGUCUCUGCAUUAGUCCAUUCUUCCACUGUUAUAAAAAAAUACCCAAGACUGGGUAACUUAUAAAGAAAAGGUUUCAUCAGCUCAUGUUCUGCAGGCUGUACAGGAAGCAUAGUGGUUUUUCCUUCUGGGGAGGCCUCAGGAAGCUUCCAGUCAUGGUGGACGACGAAGCAGGAGCAACACUUCACAGGGCCAGUGGAGCGAGAGAGAGUGGGGAGGUGCUACACACUUUUAAUAACCAGAUCUCAUGAGAACUCACUCACUAUCAUGAGAACGGCACCAAAGGAACAGUGCUAAACCAUUUAUAAGAAACUGCCCCAUGAUUCGAUCACCUCUUACCAGGCCCCACUGCCAACACUGGGGAUUACAAUUCAACGUGAGAUCCGUGCGGGGACACAGAUCCAAACUGUAUCAGUCUCCAGCCUUUGCUAUUGCUGUCCUCUCCACUUGCUGUACCUUCUUACAGCCCUCCAGGGGGGCUCAAGGGCCCAUCUUCCAAUAAAACUCCUUCACCUCACCGGUAUAAUUGGUCACAGCUGAAGUUAUGCUUCUGUGUAGCACCUACUCCAUGUUGCCUUGGAGGAGAAGCAGGCUGGUCCAGCAUGUCUUUCCUCACCGGUCUUUGAACGUAUGAAAGGCAGGACUUUGUGGCAUCCACAUCUGGCUCUCUGCAAUCCCCAGGCCAGGGCUGGACGGGGGUGAGGGCCUGUUGUGUACAAGGAUAUCCAUAUGUAUUCAUGCCAAGCCUAAGAGAAGACUUGCAAGGCGUAAGUGUAAUCCUUUUUCAUUUAUGCAGAAACUAAAGCAAAGGAAUUUGCUCUGAUAUGCUUAGCUAGGAAGCAGAGGAGCUGACUUAGCUAGGAAGCAGAGGAGCUGUCUGGGAUUUGAAAUCUGUGCUAUUUCCACUCCCUGUGGGGCUCAAGAAAUAUCUUAAAAAUGAAGCAAUAAGUAAAUGAAUGUAAAGAAGGUGGCAAUAGCAACAUACCAUGGUGGUUAAAAGCAAGAAAUACUUGGGUUCAAGUCCACUACUUACAAACUUGGGGAAGGGAAGUUGCUUUCUUCUCUGCCCUUCCCACGCUCCCCUAAUGCUCUGUGACUCUGGCAGUUCUAGGUUCCCCUCCAGAACCCAAAGAGGCAGUCAGGGCCUUCCCAGUGGGGAGGAAAUAACCACGUGGCUGAGAUUGAUGCAGUGUGGGGAGGCCCACAGCCUGUGGAAAACCCAGGCAGCCGCUGAAACAACCCUUGAAGCCAGCAUGAUGAACAUCUCAGGAUGUCAUUGCCAGCACCCAGCGCUGGAGAGGGGGCCUGUUGAGACUAUUUAUAUUCUGCCUGCCGACUGACGGCUUCAUCACUCUGCUUCUUUUCUUUGACUUUCACUUGACAAUCACAUUUGCACACUCCAAAGAGCCUGGAAAAGUGGGUCCUGGUAGCUCAGCUAGGCAACCCGGCUGUCCCAAGAAACUCUGGGGAUUUACAAAGAUCCCCAAAGGGACUGGUUGCUGCUGUUCCCUCCACCUCGACUCCCAGCCCUGGUGGUCAAAGGAGCCUCCUGGAGGGUCUGGGCAGCCCAGGGCGUCUGCAACUGGGGCUCUUUCUGCAGCAUCUGCAGCCUGGGCUUGGCCUGAGUGGCUAAUGUCCCGGCAGCACCUCACGUAUUGAGCAAGAAUCCCCUUCAUCCUCCCGUUGCAAGAGGCACUAUUAUUGGGGCAAUAAAUUAACUCCUUUGAUUCUCAUAAGGGACAAGUUUGGCAAGAAGAUCGCUGGCUCCAGUACCAGUGGGAGGAGUGGUCACUGAUCAAAGAUGGUUAGAAUGGCCUCUUUCCCUGAGGCCCACACUUGCCUGCUCACAGGGCCCAAGUCAUCGUGGGGAAUGUUCCCGUCAAUGAGGAGACACCGUGAUGGAAAUGAUUCUAAUACGUGGAACUCUUGCACUGAUAUCCUUUAAGCCUCAAAACACACUAAAGUCAGCAGUAAAGAAGUGGGAAAUCCAGACUGAAGGACGAAUGUGUUCACUCAUUCAUUUGUUCAUUUGAUGUAUUAAUCUACCAGAAUACUCUGCCCUGGAAUCUUCACAUGGCUGAAACGUCUCCGUAUGUCAGUCUUGGCCUGUUUGUCACAUACUCAGAGAGGCUGCCCUGACCACCCUUUCUAUCAUUGUCCCGCCCCUCCAUCCCACCCUGGUCCUAUGACGUCUUUGUUAUAUGUUUGGUUUUUUGCUUUCACAGCACUUCCUGGUAGUGAUGUUCUCUCUUGUAUGUAUUUGUCUGCUGCUUUGCUGUCUGAUGUGCCCACUGGAAGUAAACACCACAGGAAUAGGGAUCUAGUUCUGCCUGUCCACUGCUGUGUCCCCAAGUGCUUGGCAUCAUGCCUGGUCUACAGUGGACCCUCAUCUACCCAACAUUUACCAAGAACCUCCCCGUUGUCGGCCAGUGCUAGGGCUCCACAGUGGCCCGUCUGCUGGGCACUCAGCUCAUCAUCUGACUGGAGAGUUUUGCAAUGGGGCAAGGGCCGUGUAUGAACCACGUGUUUCUGAUGCUUUGACAUAGGCUUUGUUGACCCUGUAGACAGUGCCCAUCCAAGGGCUCGCCAGUUCCCAGAGAUCCUAAACGACUUGCCUGUGCAUAUGCAAACCAACAAACCCAGGGCCCACACCCAACCAUCUCCCUUAUCAGACUCUCAAUGGGCUCUGGCACUCUAGGCCACUAUCCACCCACCUUCGUCACCCCAGGGCCAGGUACUAGACGACCUGGGACAGCCUCCAUGCAUCAGAUUCAGCAGAAAUUAUUCAAACACCCCCAAUCCUAAGCCUGCCUGUGCUGCCUUGCCCAUUCCUUCUUCAAGAAACCACAGUAAAGACUCUUGCCCACAUUCUUCCACUCCCUCUGCCUCCCAAUCAACCCUGGCAUUUCCCCAUGUGGCCCUGAGUGGUGUGGUGUGUCCCACUUCUGUUAGGAACUGUGAGUAACUAACCAUCUUUUCCAUCAAUGGCGGUUAUCUCCUGAUCUGUUGGCCUCAUCACACCUGACUGAUAUAAAGCCAGCAUUUAAAAACAGGCCAUGAGGGUGAAGCAGGCCCAAGGUUGUGAUGACUUGGGGGAGGGGCAGGUAGCAGGUAACUCACACGUGGGGUGUUGCAACCACACCUUGGUUGUUGCCGGGGCUGCUAUUGGAGUUGCGUCAGCAUCACGGGGGAAGUAGUGGGCCUUCUAAGCAAAGGAUACAGCUCAGGCAAAGUCUGGGCAGUCAAGGAGAUGGAGAUUUCUGGUAACUCAAAUGGUCCCUAUGACUGGAGCAGAGCUGAGAGGAGCCACAGCGUGGGAGACUGGAGGAGGGUGGGGACCAAAUCCUGGAGGACUUUGGCUGAGACUGGGUUUUGCUUUGGAGAAGGCAACAGGCCUAGAGAGCUGUGGAUGGAGCCCCUUGAAUGCACGGUCCCUGGAUGUUUUUCCCCUGAGCCAGAGUCCACUUGGCUGCUGUCCUCUGUGUGGGAUAAGGUGAGUCACCAAUCCCCAACUCCCACUUCAUCAGCUCUGAUCCCAGCCCACACCAGCCUCAGCACUCAACCCCCUUGCUGAGUCAUUCAAGCGCUGCUGUUUCUCCCGGACUCUAGACUGAGGCACACUUGCCCCUAUUUCCCAUCUUGCACUGUCCUUGUUCCCCAGCAUCCAAGAGUAGGGGACAUUGGGGCUGAUGGAAUUAUUGGUAGCUACCAGAAUCAUUGCUGCAUGCAGUGCCCAGGAGCCCAAAUCCCUUGGGAUUCUGAGUUCAGCCGUAGCACAAACCAGAGUGUUUUUGAUAGGGCAAGCAGGAACUAUAGAGUACAGAGGUGCAAGGGCUCACUACUAACUCAGGAGCUCAGGAAAGGCUGUGUGGUCAGGCAGCCUUAUGGUUGGGCAGGACCAAUGGGCAGUGAUGGAGAGAGGGCAUCCCAGCAGAGACACAGCAUGAGCAGAAGUGCAGAUGCUGGGAGGGUAAGACCUGGUGUCUGCAGGGUGGAGUGGGAAACAUGCUUAUAGUAGAGGCAAGCGUCAUUCUGGGGGUGACCUUGACUGCAAGAUAAACCCGGAAGCUUCAGCCCAGUCUUCACUGAAGUAGUUUAAGCAGAGAAGUAACUCAAAGUCAGGGCAGGAGGAUAAAUUGGCUAUGAUGGGCAAAAUCAUGUCAGAGCUGGCAGAACAUGUGGUUAAAGGUAUGCCCCCUGGAUGUACACUGCUUGGAUUUGGUUCCAACUCUACCUCUAGAGCAGGCCUGCCCCCUUGGCCCUAACUUUUUUGAUUGAGCAGCCUGACUACCAAUUCCCAGAACCAGCAUUUCUUUGCUUGAGGACUUUCUCAGGCUGCAAAAGCCCCUUCUGCAUGCACUGGGAAUGCCAGGGACUCAAGGUCCCUUAGAACAACUCUCAAGCAUGCACUAACAGGAGUUGGUAUAUCAAUACCCCAGCUCCCUGAGCAUUUCUGAGUAUCAAUACCUCAGCUCUUGAGUAUUUUUGAGCUCCCUGCUUCUGAGUUCCUCAAACGGAUUAUGCUCCAGUUCUUACCAUCUUAAAUGGCAGGAGCAGCACCAUGGACACACUUUAGAACAACCGUAUCUUGUGAGAACUCUAUCACAAAAAUAGCACCAAGGUAUGGCAUUCAACCAUUCAUGAAGGAGCCACGCCCAUGAUCCAAUCUCCUCCCACCAGGCCCCACCUCCGACACUGGGGAUUACAACUGAACAUGAGAUUUGAGUAGGGACACAGAUACAAACUAUACCACUCCCCUCCCUGUGUUUCCUGGAAUCAUGCCCCAAAUACACUUUUUACCCUUGAAUCCUUCUCUUGAGGUUGGUUUCUGGGGAAACUGGAAUAAGACAACCAAUCACUUUAGUUAGAUGGCCUUGGUUGAAUUAUUUCACCUCCCUAUGCCUCAGUUUCCUCGCUUAGAAAAUGAGGAUGAAGAUAGUAAUUCCUCUCUCAAGGGUGCAUAUGAUAAGAAAUUGAGUUCAGAAACACAAAGAACUUAGUGUCUUGCCUGUAGUAAGUUCUCAGCAAAUGUCUGCCAAGAUGGUUUCAGAACAGAUGAGGCAGACGAACGGAAGAGGCUGUGAAGAGAGAAAGACAGAUGUGAGAGAGCUGGUGCUGAGCAGAGAAGGAAUUGAGGACACAAUCAAGUCUGCAGGCUGCAGAGCUGUAGAGAGGAAUGCCAUUUACAGCAGCCAGCAGCCAGGAGCAGAAGCUGGGUUUGGGGAAAGAAGCUCAAUUUUAGAGUCAGAGCAUUUUCAGGUGCCAGACAGCCAUGUGCAGACCCCUAGCAGGCAUCUGAGACAGUAGGGCUGAGCAGGGGAGAGGCAAAUGUGGCAGCCAUGAGGAUUUGGGAAUUACCUGGAAGGAAAUAAGAGUUGCUGGUAUGGGAUUUGGAUAGGGGAAGGGCAUUGAGGAGAGGAGAUUGAGAAGACAUGAAGGUAGCAGGGAGGGGAAGGGCAGAUAGGUGAGGCAGGGUCUUCUGGGGUAGCAGGAAUCAAGGGUGGGGAAGGGGGAGCUCCUCUUCCCAAGACUCUGAAGCAAUAGGCAUUUGUAAGACUAGAAUCAUGGCGGUCUGUGUCUUGGGUCUGGGUCUCUGGAUGCAGAGCCUGAGGCAGGGAUUCAGUGCAUGUGAUUGACUGAGAAAGGAGAAAAGGAGUAAGAGAGGAGGGCUUGGUGGGGGAUGGGGGGCAGAUCUCAUCUGGAGACUCACUUCAGCUUACUCCCACGGGGAACUUGGAAACACGAAUUGAACCACAGGGUUGUCCCACCUUGAGGCAAGGAGAGGAGCCUCUUACAUACAUAUGCCCAUAGGACAUUGGCUCCUGGAGGAUGAUGCUCCAGAUUAGGGGGCAUCUGUGAGCCAUUAGCAGCUAAUACUUACUGUAACUGAGAAAUGGGCACUGGCUCAGAAACGGGAUUUGAGUAGGGUACCAACAACAUCCACAGUAGGCUGGUGUGAGUCUAGCUCAAUCAGGCCCACUGUGGCCUGAUUGGAUAACAUUUUAUAGCUAACAUGUACUUAUCCUUCUCACCAAUGCAUUCAUGUGAUUUACCUUGGCACAAGGGAAAAGGAGAUCUGGAGAGUGAGUUUCCAGUCUAUCUCCAGAGCAUCUCCCUUCACCUCUAACAAAGGAGCAUAGAUGACAUUUGAUCUUCACCCAGAUAGUUUGGCUAAGUCAGAGGCAUGGUGCACCCAGGGAGACUAUAACUGGUGUCCAUAAUCUCUGGCUGCUUGUACCAGGCACUGUGUGGAAGGCCUUGCUUGCACUGUCUAGUGAUCUGGGACAAAGAUGCUUUGUUAUCCCCUUUUACAAAAAGCUGUGGUUUCCUUGCCCAAGAUUAAGCACCAAGAAUUAGAAUAGAAUUGAACCUAAGUCUGUGUGACUUCAGAGCUCUAGAUCUUCAUUGCUUCCCUGUUUUGCACCUCAGCAUGUUGGGGGUGUGGACACUGUAAAUUGCCUUUGGCUUGCUAGGACACAAAGGGACCAGCUAUGCCUGGCCCCCAGAAACCAUCUUUCAAUCCCACCCAUCUCACCUCACCCCAGUCCUGAUAGUUAAAAAAGAAGGAAGCAAGAAAAGGAAGGGGGGGGAGGGAUGUGACCAAGAACCCUUCAAGCUGAUUAUCCAUGUGCCUAAUCCAUGUUGAUUUGACAUGUCCCCAUGGUACUGCACCAUGAGAAAGGGGUGUUUGGGUUUCAGCCUGGGUCCUGGCAGCCGACCCUGGUCUGUGCGCAGGCCUCACUCAAGAGCUUCAGGAUACCAGGCAGGCACCGCCCUCACCUGACCCAGCUUCCCGUAACCCCACUGAUCCCAGGUUUUGAUGAGGGACACUGGAAAUAGACCAGUUUUGGCUAUAAGACUUUGGUCUGAAGAGGGGCCAUCCCCAAGCUCAGGGAACACUUCCAGCUCUCUUGGAAGAGUCAGCAGGCUGACCUGCUAGCAAGGCUUGGAAGCUAUCCUGGUUUGAGCUGUACCGGACACCGGUCCACAAUCAGUGGGGAGGUUGCUCUGAGCCACAAAAGAGCCCUGCCCCGGACACCUGGAGCUCUGGAUUCUGGGCCCUGCUCUGCCGCAAAAUCACUCUGUGCUUGGCACCAGCCACUUAACCCUUGGGGUCUUAGUGCCCUCAGCUUCAUUCCUGCAUAUCUUAGGUCCCUGUUCAAUGUCCCUUUCUCAGAGAGGCCUUCCCUGAAUACCCAUCUAAAAAUAGCAUCCCUAGCUCUUUCCCGGUGCCCCUGUAUAAUCUUUCCCCUUGGCUCCUAUCACCACCUGCUAUAUUUUCUGGGUAUAUGUUUACUUUCUUUUUGUCUCUCUCCCUCCAUAGAAUGUAAACGCCACGCGGGGAGCAGCUUCAUCACCUACUGUUCCCUGCUCUGGGCCUUACAGUGCAUUCUCCAUCAAUAUCCAGUGGUUUGUAUUUCCCUUGGGCCCACUGCUCCCUGAUUCCUCUGAGCCUUAGUUUCUGUGGUUCUCUUACUACAGAUACUACAGAAUAUCCUUUGAAAGCUUCACCUGACGUAUAGGGUGUCUCAGGGAGAGAUGUUGCUCUCAGUGCUCAGGUAGCACUCCAGGCCACUUCAAUAACAGCGCCCUCCGGGCAGCAUGGUAACUGGAAGUUUACCUGUGAUGCCCAUAUUCUUGUUUGUCUUCUUAUCUCUAAGCUGAUGCCUGGGCUGGCACCAGAGGAUGAGCAGUCACAUGAAACAACUCAAGGCCUCAGCCUGAGCCCACUUGGUGGUAACAGGUGGUUUGGGGGGCUCCAGACCCCUUGAUUCCAGCUGAUGGGGUACAGCUGGACCAGAGGAUGAGCGAGUUUUUCCUGAUGUUUCUUGCAUCUCACACAAAGAUGCUUCUCUUGGUGGUAACCCCAUGCAGGUCAAUCCCCAGGUGAGGCUCUCCCUGGGAAGAGUCUGGGGUCUCAUUAACAGCUUGGGUGAGUGGUGGGCAUGGAGGAAGGGCAGUUCAGGUAUGGACUGGAUCACUGGAUCCAGGUCAGGAGAAUUAGUUCAAAGAUGACAAUAAAUGAAUAGUCAAAGUCUGUGAAGCUGGCAGGGUGCAGUGGCUCAUGCCGGUAAUCCCAGCACUUUGGGAAGCUGAGGCAGGUGGAUCACUUGAGGUCAGAAGUUCAAGACCAGCGUAGCCAACAAGUUGAAACCUGACUCUACUAAAAAUAAAAAAAAAUAAAAAUAAAAAAAAUUAGGCUGGGCAUGGUGGUACAUGCCUGUAGUCCCAGCUACUUGGGAGGCUGAGGCAAGAGAAUUACUUGAACCCAGGAGGUGGAAGCUGCAGUGAGCCAAUAUCACGCCAUUGCAUUCCAGCCUGGGAGACAGAGCAAAGCGAGACAUUGUCUUAAAAAAAAAGAAAAAAGAAAAAACAACAUGUUUGUGAAGCUCUUGGUCAGCAGAGACACCAGUGACCAGUGGCCUGCGAGCCAGGGAGCGGACUUCCAGUUUCUGCCUCACCACUAAUCAGCCGUGUGACCUUGAGAAAGCCUCUUCAUCUGUCUGAGACUCAGAGAGUUUGAUUUUCAGCUUCAGAGAAAUGGUUUGUAAAAUAGACUUUUGUCCCCUCUGCCAAAAAAAAAAAAAAAAAAAUGUCUGGAGUGCUGGGUUAGGAAAGAUUCUGAAGUGGACAUUGAGCCUAAUGGGACAGUACCAUGAUUGAUUAGUAAUGUCUGCCAUGGAUAUCAUAAAGAAGACGGGUGUGACUCCUUGUCCGGUGUCUUUCAUGCAUCUCAUGACUCAGUGACUCUGUAGAGCUAAAGCUCGUGUGUGUGUAUGCCAAGGAAGGAGGGGUCAAAGAGAUACGAAAAGUAGGUUAAGAAACUUGAGUCAGACCCAUGGAGAGCUCCAAAAUAGAUGGAGAAUGGAAGUUGCUUCAUUGUACACAAAAAGCACACUGUGGGAUAGCAGUUUGCUUUUGCAAACUGAGUUGCUAACCAUUAGUGGGUUGUGAAAUAAAUUUAGUUGCCUAUACCAAUAUUUUAAGAACACACAGAGUAGAAAAGAAUAAAAUAGAAUGAAAUGGAAUAUUUUAUAUUGUCAAUGCAUAUGGUAAGGUUAAAUGCUGUUUUGUGAGCUUUUGUUUAGGUUAUGCGUGGGCAUGUGAAGAGAGUCAGGAUGGAUUUUUCACUGUGGCUCUGGGUCCAAAUGGUCUGGAGUUGGGUGAUCAAAAGUGUUCUGUUUAGGACAGACCUGGCUCACCUCAUCAUCCUGGUGUAAUUAUCCACCAGCUCCUUUCACUCCCUGUGGUGAUUUUAAAAUAUGAACACACAUUUUUUAGACACUCUUUCUUUCAAAAGGUGAGACCUAAAUUUCCUUCUCUCAAAUGUGGGCUGGGACUUGGUGACUUGCUUCUAAUGAAUAGAAUAUGGCGAAAGUGACAGUGUGUCUCUCUCGGGACUAUGUCAUAAAAGACUCUUCAGCCUCCUCCUCACUGUCUUUCUUGGAUCACUCACGCUGCCGAGCCACAGCCACAUUGUGAGGAAAUUCAGGCAGUCCUGCAGAGAGGCCCACGUGGCAAGAAAAUGAGGCCUCCUGCCAACAGCCAUGUCAGCCAUCUUGGAAAUGGAUCCACCAGCCCCAGACAAGCUUUCAGAUGCUUGCAGCCUGGGUCAGCACCUUGCCUGCAACUUCAUAAGGGACUCCAAUCCAGAACUCCCAGCCAAGACACGCCCAAACUCCUCACCCACAGAAAUUAUGAGAUAGUAAAUGUUGUUUUUAGCUGCUAAAUUUUAGGGGAAUUUGUUACGAAGCAAUUGAUAACUAACACACUCUCAAAGUUACCUCUUUUGGUUGAAAAAUUAUAUGGUUACCCCAUAUAAAAGGGACUUCCAGGAUUCUGUGGGAUUUCUAAGAGUCACAGAGAAAGAGAAAAUUAAAAGGAGAUGAAAGGGGGCAAAGCAGCCUUUGCCAAAAAAAAGGUGGAAGAGUGGAUUCUGAUUAUGUUAGAAACAGCCUAGACUGGGUGACUGGGAAGAAAAUCCAGGAGCAUCUGGGAAAGAACAUGGCAUGGUCCAACGGCAAGCCUAGGCUCACUAAAGUCAUGUUUCCCCUUUUCCCACAGGAGGACUGGAUUAGCAGAUCAGUAGAUAGAGCCCAGGUUCAUGGUGGUUUGAACAGCUUCUACUCAAGAAGUUUGGGUGGCAGGGAAUGAAUUGGGAGAGGGAUUUUCAGUGCAAAACAUUGUCCUGGCUCCAGCCUGUCCAGUAAUUUCGACAGACACUUGGAUGAAAACACAAAAGAUGUGUCCAUCCAAACCUCGAAAGCACAAGUUACUUUGCUGUAGCUGAUUUAUGAUCCAAACUGUCUUCCCAGGCAGAAUUGCUGGGCCAAAAUCAACACGAAGAUAUUUAACAGUAAUCAAUGUAAAGUCAGGCACUUCCAGAUCAAAAAAAAAAAAAAAAAAAAAAAAAAAUCAAUGAUUCUAGGAAUAAGCCCAGGGUGGGUGGAUGGAGCUGGCUUGGCAGAAUUCCACCUGAAACAAUCUGGUCAUUUUUAUUUGGCCCCCAAGGUCAAUGUAAGCACAAACAACGUGCUGUGGCUACUAAAACAGUGGACCCAGACAUAGUUCCCUAACUUCACGCAGGUGGUGGUGACGGGAAGGACUGUUUUCCUAUCUGCUCUUGGCCUUGGUCAGCCACAUCUGGACCCCACAGAGUGUCGGGGGGUGGGGGUGGAACCCAGAAUUGGGAGCAGGGCUCAGCAUCCUCACAUGGGGAAUGAUGAAUGGCAUUUCAAGAGGGGCUCGGCUGCCUUGGAUCAGCCUGGGCAGGAGGGAGGGGCCCAGAUGGGUGACUGGAAGUGAUAGGGCAGCCCAUUGGGAGUUUCUAAGGGGAAGGUGUCCUGACAGGUGGGCUUGGCUGUGGGUGCUUGAGCCCCCCCAUCACUGGUGUGAGUGAGAAGAGGACAGUUGGAGCAAAUAAAGGCUACUUUGUCCCCUUCCUCCUUGUAAUUUUCCCAUUCUCCAUUACUACAAUGCCAGGGUCCCGUUCCUCUGUCCAGACAUGGCCUCUGGCUUCCAUGGGGGCUUUCCCCAGGGUAAGAGGGUGGUCCUUGAUUGAGCAAGGAGAAGAAAUGGGUGAGGGGAACAGUAGAGAGAGAGACAGAGAGAGAGAUAGGGGCAGAAUCUGCCUGGGCUACCUGCUGUGGGCACACACGUACACAUACACACACACACACAAUCCUGCUCACAUAUGUUCCAACAUCAGCCCUCACACAAACUCUCACACACCCACAUUCAUACACAAUCUCAUGUAUUCCCACCCCGUGUCCACCUGCCUACACACCCACACACCCUCACCUGUGCUUACACACUUGCCUUAUACACCCUUCAAGAUGCACACACGAACACAUGCACAUACAUGGAGAUCUCCCUUCAACAUGCACACACAUGAACACAUGCACACACGAGUGCCCACACAGAGGAAGGCCCAAUCUUAGCUCAGAUUCUUGGGAAACAGCCUCUGAGAUGGUAACUUGCAUGUGGGAGGCUUACUGGGCAGAGCUCUUGGAAGCAGCAUAGCAAGGGAGUGAGGGAGGCAGGCUUAGGUGGCAGGGAGAAGUGGAGCUGCGAUGCAGUCACAGGGGAGGCCUCAGCCCAUCCCCCAGGGAGCUCUGACACUGCCACAGCCCUUCAAAGAGGUCCAGAAUUGAUGUAAAUGGGCUGGGCCUUUGUAUAUCUGUGUAAACUGGUCACUGGACACAGGGAAGGUAAGUAUGUUUGGGCAAGAUGGCUCUUUCUAGUUGAGGGCAUUGGUCAGAACAGGCCUCAGCUGUACGCCGUUCAAUGCUCCUGGUAGCUGGAGGCUGAGUGUCUUGGUCCUGGAAUGGGCAGCACCGCUGCAUUCACUCUGUGCUCACAGGACAUGCACCUGAACACAAGCCUAGCUGGAUUUCUCCUCUCCAGCUCCAUGCACGCCUGUUCCUGCGAGAAGCCCACCCACUAGGUGAGGAGAUAGAGGGUCCUUUAAGGAAAGGCUGUCUCCCUGACCAAUGAUGGGAGGAAGUAGUUUGCUGGCCAGGAUGGGCGGCCCAGUGCAGGAAUCAAAGAAGAGGUCAGUGGUGACCCAGAAAGAAUAUGUGGGACCUUCAUCAACCAUCUCAAUGGGACCUGGCCUUUUGGGUCCCAUCAUACUCUGCACCCAGAGUGGCCAGCAUGGCAAAUGCCCUCUCCCAAGAAGUGUUCCCAGCUCAACUACUUUUCCUCCACCCUCCCUCUGGAAUGCCCUCAGUGGAUGGCACCAUCCCCUGCACCAGGUGGACACUGGGGCUGUUCCCAUUGCUUUCUGCUUGCCCUUAGAUCAUCAGCAGAUAGAAUCACAGAACCAGCUUGAUUCAGACUGUCCAGUUUGUGAUAUCAAUCUAUACUCCAGUCUUUGUUCACAGGUAACUGCUUCCCUUCCCUCUCCCUUCUUGGGGUCAGGGCUGGCAGGGAAGACACAGAGUUGCUAUUUUCUCUCACUCUGCUCACCAAUCCUCACUCAGGCGCUGUGGUUUUUUAUGCACCAAGGCAAGGUUAAACCAGGGUCCCCAUGGGGUGCAGAUGUAGGCUCCUUGGGGACUCAGGCAUGGGCAUCUUCCACCUGCAGUCGCCUUGGCCUGGGAGGUCAAUGUUCCAUUUCAAGCCAUGGCUGUGCCUCAUGACCAGGUCCCAAGGAGCAGGGAGCCUGCCUCCAGUGUCUUGCUGCUGAACCCCUCCGUCCCUGGGCAGUCCUGGUGGCAAACCUCCCUCACGUGGUGUUUGCAUACACAUGGCACAAUCAGGACUCCAAGAGACACACACAUAUAACCCUUUGCAUCCUCAGUCUUCUGCCCCAGGCCACGGCAGCUUUCUCAGCUGGGCAGGCCCUGGGCCUCUGAGUUUCCAACUGUGGGGACCACCUCUCUUAUGGAAGCCCCUCAUUCUUCUUAAGGAGUGAGUAUCACAGCAUAGCACCAGCUCCCCAGAGAGAUCUCCAUGCACCUCCCUUCCUCUGUUCCCUCUUUCAUAUCCUUGAUCUGGCAAAGGAGUCCAAGAAUCAUGGAACCAGUUCUCAAAAUUUUCCUUUGUAAAAAUCUGCUCCAGGAGACUCGCCUCACCUCGUGGUGUCUGAUAUCUGAAAUCUUGCUGUCUCCUAGGCCGAUGCUCAGUCCCAGUUUCUAUUUUAAGAUUUCUCUUGCCCCAUGUGACACAGUGGUUUAGAGCACACCCCCUAAGCUAGGUCCCCUCAGUUUGAAUGCAAGCUCUGCCCCUUGAUGCGGGUGGGACCCUGGGCAGGUUGUGUGACCUGUCUGUGCACCACUUGCCUCAUCUGUAAAAUGGGGUAAUAAGCACAGAUAAUGCAUAUAGAUUCACCUGGCACAAAGCCAGUCUCCAGGAACCUCAUACUUCUAGCUCCUUCUUGAUCAUGCUUAUGGCAGCUCAGCGCUCACCCACUCUCCAGCUCUUUUUCCUUCCCCUCCCCACCCCCAGGCUCUUCUCCACUUCUGGAAUAAAUCUAUUUGGCUGAUCUUGGCAACCAUGGCCUUAAUUGUGUGUGUUUGAUAAAUAGCUCUAUUGGAUUAAGACAGCAGCUGCUGCGGACCCGAUCAGGAUGGUAACAGCAAUGAAAAUACUGGGAGUACAGAGCUGGGGCAGGGCUAAGGAUGCACAGGCCCUGCCCUGCCCGCCUCACCUACACGACGCUGGGAACCCUGGCCCACUCCUGUCCCUCUGCAGCCACUCUUAGGACUGGUGGUGGGAAUGGAAAUCCGAGAGCUUUAAAGGAUCCUUGGAGAUCUGCCUCCCAUAUUCAGAUAUUCACAAGUGAGGAUGCUGAGGUCUAGAGGUUGAGGGGCUUGUCUGGGGCACCCAGCUGGUAAAAGGCAGACUUGAAAGUCUAACCUGGGCCUUGUGACCUCCAGAUCAACGCUCUGCCCACUGGGCCACGCUGCCUCACCCCAUAACGCCCCAGCCAAUACACUUCCUCUUUCCUGCUAAUUUAAUUUUCUGACAAUAUUUUCUUGCCCUCUGCCACCCUUCUCCCUUCCAAAAUAUUAAGAACAGAAAGCAUUUCCUGUAGCACCAGACUGCGGGAGUUCGAGCCCCAGAACUUUCAUUUGUUUGCUGUGUGUCUUGAAGGGAUUUACUUCACUGCUUUGAGCCUCAGUUUCCUCAUUUGUAAAAUGGGGCUUAUGCAAAGUGUAGCGGCUUCAUGGGAUUGAUGUCAGGUGUUUACUACAAUGCCAGCACAGAGUAAACUAAAUGUUGGCCAUUACUAUUACUAGUUGGGGUCUUCAGGAUUGCCUUGUACGGUGGGGUGGUUUGUGUACUGCUCAAAAGUACCCGGCAGGUAAGUAAGUGGGGCUGAAAUCCAGCCUGUGAUCACUCCUGAGGCUGUGGACCCUUGGAGCUGCAUCUGCCCUAAGGAGGUACAGUUUUCUAAUCCAUUUACCCAGAGAGGCCAUCUUUUCUUAAUUUGCACAAAGGUGCUGUAGAGCGCAGCCCCGUGUGCCCUGACUGUUAAUUUGAGGGGGACUGGGCAGGAUUCCGAACUCCAUCUCUCAUCUGGGGAUCACAGUGCCUGAGUUUUACCACUGAAGCUACCCCCUGGGUCCCAUGGUCAUCUGCAAUGUUCCCGAAAUCCCAAUUACAAAGCAGCAUCCUUAGGAACAAUAAUAACCCUAAACAAUAACCCUAAAAAUAAUCGCACUUUCUCAUCGCAUUCAUUAUCAUCAUCACGAUAAUUUUACACCUUGAGUAGAUUAGCCUUCAUCCAGCAGAGAGAAGGAUAUACAGGAUGACUCCAGGAAGGAGCCAGGAGGGGAGAAGGGCACUGCAGGACGA